AGUGAACGCUGGCGGUAGGCCUAACACAUGCAAGUCGAACGGCAGCACAGGAGAGCUUGCUCUCUGGGUGGCGAGUGGCGGACGGGUGAGGAAUACAUCGGAAUCUACUUUUUCGUGGGGGAUAACGUAGGGAAACUUACGCUAAUACCGCAUACGACCUACGGGUGAAAGCAGGGGAUCUUCGGACCUUGCGCGAUUGAAUGAGCCGAUGUCGGAUUAGCUAGUUGGCGGGGUAAAGGCCCACCAAGGCGACGAUCCGUAGCUGGUCUGAGGGGAUGAUCAGCCACACUGGAACUGAGACACGGUCCAGACUCCUACGGGAGGCAGCAGUGGGGAAUAUCGGACAAUGGGCGCAAGCCUGAUCCAGCCAUACCGCGUGGGUGAAGAAGGCCUUCGGGUUGUAAAGCCCUUUUGUUGGGAAAGAAAUCCAGCUGGUUAAUACCCGGUUGGGAUGACGGUACCCAAAGAAUAAGCACCGGCUAACUUCGCGCCAGCCGCCGCAGUAA
rnacentral:rRNA from 1 species